AUGAUCAGGUAAAGAUCAGGUAUAAAUCAGGUAAAGAUCAGGUAUGAAUCAGGUAUAAAUCAGGUAAAGAUCAGGUGAUGAUCAGGUAUAAAUCAGGUAAAGAUCAGGUGAUGAUCAGGUAUAAAUCAGGUAAAGAUCAGGUGAUGGUCAGGUAUAAAUCAGGUAAAGAGCAGGUGAUGAUCAGGUAUAAAUCAGGUAAAGAUCAGGUGAUGGUCAGGUAUAAAUCAGGUAUAAAGAGAAUGUCUUUGAGAGGGUCACUUAAUCCUUUUAGAAUCUCUCAAACAUUCCCAUCAUAAGAUCGACUGUAUAAUAAAGAGGGUUGUACCUUCAGUGGUUUUUUGUAGUCCACGUUCUUGGACUUCCUGAGGACCUCCAUGGUGUCUCCUACAAUGUCCUCCCUCCGGACGAUCAGGAUGAGACACGGAUUCACUGACUCGACGGCUGGCAUGAACAUGGAGCUGAAGUUCUGCAUCUGAGCCUGAUCCACCGCCAUCUUUAAAUACAAUGUUAUUUAAUAUAAUGAUAAGAAAUGAUGGAAUGAUUGGAUGAUUCAAGAGUCUGAAUCACCUGCAUUUGGAUGACUGCAUCCGUCUGCAGCAGCGUCGUCUUGGCCUGAGCAUCAAACACAAACGGAAACCUGCACAGAGUCACCCCGCCGUCCUGAUCCUGAGACAGAAGUAAACGACCCAGAGAGAUUGAUCAAUCAUUUACUUACACACGAAUAAACCACAAAAGAAGUUGUUGAAGAGCAGACGCACCAUGGGAUACAUUUGUCUCUGAAUCCACCUGAUGUAGUCGUUUCUGAUGUCCAUCAGCUCGUCCAACUCGUGGAUGUAAAAUUUAUCGUACUGGAUGAUGUGCGCCUCUCGCUCGUUCACCUGCAGCCACAAGAAACUGAUGUUUACAUAACGCUUCAUGUGACAUCUUUCUUUUUGAUGUGUCAUGUUUCAGAUGUUAGUAUGAAUGCUUUCAGUUUUUACAGAGUGCAGAAUCUGGAGCAGGCGCAGCGACGUGUCGAGGAAACAGGUGAAGAUUCUCUGCUCUGCUGAAGGAAUCCCGACUCUGUGCAUCUGCAGCAGAUAAACCACCACCUCCUUAUACAACGCCACGAGGCGCUGGAAGACGGGGGGCUCCAACGUGGACCACCAGUGACCUGUGCUCAGAGACGACACAAAACAAGAGAUGAAGAAAUGACGUUUGAGAGACGAUAAAGAGCAAAAAGGAAAAGAAGAAGCCGCUCUUCGUACCGAGCACCUUUAGCGGAGUGUUUUUCAGGCACAGCAGCGAUUUGGCGAAGGGGAUGGUGAUGGUGACGUAAUUUUUACGGUCGCUGAAGAGAGGACAUUCAGGCAGCGUGAGGAAAAGUCUUAGAGCUUCGAUGUCUGGAGGAGAAGUGCUCAAUCUGGGAAUCAGGUUCUUCUCCAGACUGGCAGCUAUCUGACACAGGAACACAAACAUGUUUAUUUGAAGGGACUGCAGCAUGGUGUCAUGAAACAUCAGAUUCUCCAACAAUGUGACGUCUACCUGCUGAGUGAUCUCUGGGUGCUCAGGUGUUAUCAAUCUGUGAAACAUGAGGCGAGCUGUGUUCAUGUCCACACCGGAACACUUCCUGCUGGUACUGAAGUGAUCGGGAUGACUGUGAAGAAAACAUAAAGGUUACAUACAGCUAGCACGUCUCUUUGGACACUGAUAAAGGUUGUGUUUGAUCUCUACUGAUUAUUUGACAGUAUCCUGUGUUUGCUGCUUAAUUUUAAAGAUCCUCCAUGAGAAUGAAGACAGCAGGAAAGAGCCCUGCUGCACUAACCGUCCACUGCAGGAACUUCUGACAGUAAUGAUCUGAUUAUCUGACAGCCAGCUGUGUUUGCUGCUUUGCAUCAUUAUGAAGACAACAAAGCGUUAUUUCCUCCAGGCUCCGCCUCUCUCUCUCUCUCUGCGUGCAGAAACUCUGAGGACAGAAUCUUUUAUUUUACCUGAAUGAUAAAAAAGAUCCGUUCAGACAGCUAGCCGACGAGAACACGAGGUCGAUCUGACUGAAAAUAAAACGACAACAAUCAGAAUGACAUCUGUCAACAACCUUCAAAUAAGAACGACCAAUCAUCAGUUUACUUUGAAACUUCUGCAGGAAGUCGGCCCGAUGACACGUUCAGCCAUCUUUGAAUUAUUUCUUCAUUCAAGCAGCAAAUGUUCCCGUUUGGAUUUUUCAUCGUCACGUCUUCAAAGUUCUAAAUUCAAAAUAGAAAAAAACAAGAAAUUAUUGUUUAUAUUAUGUAUAUGUUUAUUAUUUAUAUUAUUAAAGUGGUUAACUUACGUUGCCUUGGCGAUAGUGAGCGAAGCUUUGAUCUCCUCCAGCGUAAAUCUUCGUCACGCAGAACCCCGACCCAGAGUCUGUAAACAAAUCAAAACUGUAAAUAAAUCAAAACUGUAAAUAAAUAAAAACUGUAAAUGAAUCAAAACUGUAAAUAAAUCAAAACUGUAAAUAAAUAAAAACUGUAAAUAAAUAAAAACUGUAAAUGAAUCAAAACUGUAAAUAAAUCAAAACUGUAAAUGAAUCAAAACUGUAAAUAAAUCAAAACUGUAAAUAAAUAAAAACUGUAAAUGAAUCAAAACUGAAAAACAAAUCAAAACU